GCAACACCAUAGCAUGCACAGAAAAUUGGAACAAUAAAGAUUAGCACAGUCCCUAUGCAAGGAUGAUGCACUAAUUAGUGAUCAUUCCAUACUUUAA
ensembl:snRNA U6 U6 spliceosomal RNA